CGGCGAGUCUGGCCACUUCUCCCGCGAGUGCCCCAACAAGGCCCACUAGGCGGCGCAGCUCGUCAGAUCUGAGUGCCCCGUUUCCUUUCGCUCCUUUACCUACCUCUUGAUUCUGCAGCAAGUCAUACCCUAUACCUAUCAGUACUAGUAUUAGUCGCCGUAGCGUUUCCCCCUGCUGCUCGAUGCGAGCUUGGUUUCAGAAGAAUUGCUGGUGGUGUGUUCGUUAAGAUCCAAGUUAUUUUGUUGUCUCUCUGUGAUGAGGACACAGAUCUAUCUAUGUGUUGGAUGGACUAAGUUAUCGAAGUCAAGUUUGGUGUCUUAAGAUUGAUCUAUGAUCUUGCAUGUCUAUUGUUUAUCUUGCAUAUCUGCCAGGCUUGAAAGUGUUGAUUCUGAUAUUCUAUUCUAGCUUAGUGGUGGAUUAUUUUGGAAUCCUGUUCUCCCAUUUCAAUGUGAUUCCAUUGGCGUUUUGAUAGUGGGUACGAUUCGCAAGUUUGAUGCUUUUCAACAGUUUCAUGGUUCAAAAUCUUUCUUAAAUA
rnacentral:lncRNA from 1 species